CCUCAACUUUUAGACUUUUAAAGGAUAGUAGUUAUCCAUUGGCCUUAGGAGUCAA
rnacentral:tRNA from 1 species